UUAUAAAACAUGUUCACUUUAUAAAAAGCUUUUAAUUUUCCACUUAAGUAAUAUUUUAAGUAUAAAGAAUAGAUGUGAAAUAAAUAAAGUGAGAAUUUCUUGUUUUCAUCUGAAAAUAAGUAAUCUACAGAGAAGAAAAAUAUAGGAGACAUGUUAAAUUUGUUUUCAAAAGUUUUUCAAAGUUUAGUUAUAAUUUUAAAAACAUGAAAAACUGUUUUCUAUUUUCAUUUUAGAAAAAUGACACAAAUAAAUAUAAAGUUCUUUUUUUGUUUUCAUUCGAAAAAUUUUAUAGGUGUCAGUUUUCUAUAAGUAAGUAGAUCUUAAUAGUUUUAAUUUCUUUUUUUUUCAAUUUUAUCCAAUAAAAAAUAAAAAUUACAAAUAUCAAUUAAAUCAAAUGCAUAGAAACUUAUAGUACAUUUAUUAAAUAUAUAGUAGAGAGUGAAGUUUGACUCUUCACACUAGGAGUCUAUGGCCCUCAUAUACCUUUAUCAACAGAUGGACAUCACCAUUCGUGGUGGCAAGAAGAUUUGCAGCUUCUAGCAUGCGAUCCAUGUUUGCCUUGGAGAUUGGCCUCCUCGUAGGCUAACAACCCAUCUGCACCUCGCGAGCUUUCCCUUACUUGAGAUAUUGAGGCUCCAGCAGGGCAGUUGCUAGUGGUCACAAGUACACAUGCACUAUAUGUGGAUCAACAACCUGUCCUAGGACAUGAUCCCGAGUGAUUGGCAAGGAGAGUGUGACCAGUGAGAGCCUUAUAUGCUAUCCACGAUUGACCUCGAACAGAAGAUGAUCCUAUUGGCUAGGCCCGUAUGUAGGGCUUGGUACCUUGGCGAAAGAAUUUAUGGUUGGGAGCGCGAUCCCAAUAGGUGCCAAGUCCCAUUAUCUUCUCAUCUCUACAUGUUUUGGACAACCGAUCUUAUUAGAGAGGAGCUGAUAGAGUGCUUGAACGGGUAUGAUGAGGUUAUGGAUUUUACCCUUCGUUCACAACUGAUCGGUUAUACCUCGUUCAUUCCGCAGCUGCUGGGGACUUUACCUAUCAGGGAUGACACUAUUGUCCGGGUAUUUUAUUAGAUUAUUUAGAAUGCUCUCUUUUUACCAUGUACUGCUAUUUUAUUCACCUAUUCAUAGCUUGUUUGAUAGGCCCCUGCUAUCCACAAGCCAACUGAAGGAUGGUCUUCUCGACGCAACCAGCCUUCAUAUGUCGCAGGCUCAUCUGCUGGUGCGACUUCUGAGGCACCACCUAUGGCUACGUCAAAUGUGGUCCUCGGAGCUAUUUUAUUCCCUCAUGAUCCGAUGGUUUCAUAUUGAAGUCCACUUGGUGUGGUAGAGCACUGUCUCGCCAUAGAUCAGUAUUUCCUUUUAAAGUUCGUCCCGAGCAACUACACCCAUGUUCAAAAAGACCAAUUUGAGCAUGUAAAUCGACUGGUUAGGGUAGCGAGGAAACAAAAUUUUCAUCCUUGGUGAGGAUUGGUGGAGGGACUGCAGGGGCAGUUAGACGACCAGUGACAGAUUAAUGCCUUGACUCUUCAGCUACCCGCAUUAUAAACCCAAGGGAUGGUGCUGAAUCAGACGACGAGAUGGAUAGUUCAGGAGCGAACUCCGGCUUUUAAAUUUCCUUGGCUUCUAUUUUUGCCUUUUCUGAUUGUAUUUAAAACCUGAAAUCUUUGUGUAGACUUUUAUUUUUGAAGGUAUAAGAUGUAUCGCCUUUUGGAUUGCCCCCAAAUGUAAAACAAUUAUUGGGUUGCCUACCAAUUAGCGCUAAUUUAAGGUCAUUACCUUGACCGAACUGCUAUGAUCUCAAUUGGGAUCUUUGAGUCUGCAAGAGACACUCUUUAGACCAUACUCUCUUGUAUGAAAGAUAUUAAAACAUUGUCUAUUGACUUUAAAUGUUUCAUUUGCCUUU